UGGGGAAUAUUGCACAAUGGGCGCAAGCCUGAUGCAGCCAUGCCGCGUGUAUGAAGAAGGCCUUCGGGUUGUAAAGUACUUUCAGCGGGGAGGAAGGGAGUAAAGUUAAUACCUUUGCUCAUUGACGUUACCCGCAGAAGAAGCACCGGCUAACUCCGUGCCAGCAGCCGCGGUAAUACGGAGGGUGCAAGCGUUAAUCGGAAUUACUGGGCGUAAAGCGCACGCAGGCGGUUUGUUAAGUCAGAUGUGAAAUCCCCGGGCUCAACCUGGGAACUGCCUCUGAUACUGGCAAGCUUGAGUCUCGUAGAGGGGGGUAGAAUUCCAGGUGUAGCGGUGAAAUGCGUAGAGAUCUGGAGGAAUACCGGUGGCGAAGGCGGCCACCUGGACGAAGACUGACGCUCAGGUGCGAAAGCGUGGGGAGCAAACAGG
rnacentral:rRNA from 1 species